UGUGUGAGCGCAAGGGGUGCGAGCGAGAGAGAGAGGAAGGUGCGGGGCGGGGGAAGGGCGAAGGGAACCGCAAACGAGAACCGAGGGGAAGAGCGCGGGGAGCUUGGGGAAGUUCGUUGGCUCUCUCGCGGGAGCGCGGAAUAUUUUUAUUUUUUAUUUUUUCGGUCGCAGACAAAUUGAGAGGCAGAAAAGGGGAAGGAAGGGGGGCGGGGGGCGAGGUGUAACAGAGCCUCGCCACGGAGCCGGCGAGGCGAGGGCGAGGGGAUGGUGAAGGUAAAGGGCGUGGAAUGGAACCAUGUCUUGGUUGUGAAGGAGCCCGAGCGCCAUGGUAUGGCCACGCUCGUGCGCUGCGCGCACUGUGGGAAGGAGUUUCAGGGCAACGCCAUGCGCAUCCGCGCGCACCUGCUGGGCAAUAAACGCUCCGCGGGUGUGUCCGGCUGCCCUUCCUGCCCCGAGGACGCGCGCGAGGAGCUCCGGAUCAUCGACAUCGCCAAGUCGCAGGUCAAACGGAAGCGCCAGGACCGCACACCGCGUGUGCCGCGCGCCACGUCGUCCUCCGAUCACAGCCUCGACAGUGCGAUGCAGCAGAUGGACUUCAUGACCGCGCUGCAAAAGGGGGAGAAGUCGGCCGUCGAACAGGCACUGCGGAGUAUGGUCUUCCAGGGAGGAUUGCCUGUCAAUUUCGUCAACUUCUCACCGGUUAAGUCCGCGGCGCCGAGCUUAACUGAGGCUGCGGAUUUGGAGUCUUUUUUCGACGGUUUUGGAAUUCGACCAGAAACUAUUGGCAAAAUUAAAGAAAUGGGCUUCACUGGCAAAACGUUUAUGUCGAACGUGGAUGAGCUUUUAACACUCCUUGAUUCUAUAAAACAACAUUGUCAUUUGACACUUGGAGAAGAGUGGGGCAUCAAAGGCGCAGCUAAAAAAUGGCAAAAAGAUCACUCGAUGGUAUUUAAUCAACCAGAACUUGAGAAAUGGCCAGAGACGGACAACGAGACUGCGAACGGUUGCAAGGAACUCAGUUGCCUUCCUUCCAGCUAGUCCCGUCGGAGAGCAUGCAGAGAUGACACAGGUCAAGAGUACAUUAUGUGGAGACAAAUUACGACUUAAUUAGGAUGCGGUGCAACAUGUUGCUGAAGACUUCCACAUGUUUUGCAAAUAGGCUGCACAGAGCCACUGGGAAUGUGUAGAGGAGCUGGAAUGUAGGAUGUGAAUCAGAGAAACGAUGUUUUUUUUGGUGAGGUUUGUCACACGUGUACGGAAAUUUCAAAUUACCAACUGUAGCUCAUACUUGUAUAUACUUGUAGUACAUAGGGCGUGUUCACGCAUAAUGAAUAAGCUGGGAAGCAAAAUGAAGAAUCUUUUUCUUUUCCCCUUUCUUUUCGAUUCAUGGUCCUUUGUAGGAAACAGAAAUUAUACAUCAUGUUUCAGGGGUAUAUGCUUGCCUUGUAUCCUCAUGUGCAUCAAACUUUUGGAUGUGCGGCUUGGGACCUGCUAGCAUCAAUUCCUGAAUAGUUCAGUAA